UACCAGCACCCCGAGUGGUCGGGACGAUUAUUGGGCCUAAAGCAUCCGUAGCCGGUUCUACAAGUCUUCCGUUAAAUCCACCUGCUUAACAGAUGGGCUGCGGAGGAUACUAUAGAGCUAGGGGGCGGGAGAGGCAAGCGGUACUUAGUGGGUAGGGGUAAAAUCCGUUGAUCCAUUGAAGACCACCAGUGGCGAAGGCGGCUUGCCAGAACGCACUCGACGGUGAGGGAUGAAAGCUGGGGGAGCAAACCGG
rnacentral:rRNA from 1 species